GAUGGCAUCAGGAGUACCAGUUGUGGCACUACAGUGAGUUCACAGGGGUCUUGGGACGCUGUGGCUGUAGUUUGGAAUAGACGCAGAAAACGUAUGAAAACAGGAAAUCAUGCAGUGAUUCUCUACUACAGUGAGUCAUGAAAAAAGAAUAAAGCAAUCAAGAAUACAAGGCUGCAUUUUUGGCACUGUGACUCAAAAGGAUUGGAUGUAUUGGUAUAGACAGACAACAUCUCUCGGCUGUUAAAAAGUCUAGUAUUUAAUGUUUUGAUAUACAAAACAGAAGACAAGUAUCACAAAGAGAAAUAAAUAAUAUGUUAUGGAAGCUACUACAGCUACUGUAUAUAUAAACUGUCAACUCAGCACACAUAUGUUGAGAAAAAAAAAUAAUUGCAAAAUGAGUAUGAUGCUUCAGUUUUAUAAAUUAUGAUACCACA